rnacentral:rRNA from 1 species
AAAUCCCAAAGCUUAACUUUGGAACUGCAAUUAAAACAGCUCGACUAGAGUUUGAUAGAGGAAAGCGGAAUACAUAGUGUAGAGGUGAAAUUCGUAGAUAUUAUGUAGAACACCAGUUGCGAAGGCGGCUUUCUGGAUCAACACUGACGCUGAGGCNCGAAAGUAUGGGUAGCAAAGAGGAUUAGAUACCCUCGUAGUCCAUACCAUAAACGAUGAUUGCUAGAUGUUGGAAAUUUAUUUUCAGUAUCGCAGCUAACGCGUUAAGCAAUCCGCCUGGGGAGUACGACCGCAAGGUUAAAACUCAAAUGAAUUGA